rnacentral:hammerhead_ribozyme from 1 species
AUCCAGCUGACUGGUCCUAAAUAGAAUGAAACGCGCGUCAAAUUGGAU